ACCGUUAUCGGUCUCCGAGCCCGUCACCCUAAAAGGGUGUACCUCAAGGAUGGCGGGCCGGCAGGGUUUCGCUGGAAACGGCGGGGCCUCCCUUGUGGAAAGGAGAUGCGUCGAAAUUG
rnacentral:ncRNA from 2 species